UGGCAGAAGAAUCCCUUUCAGGUCUAGGGCACAAAGAAGAUAACGAGGAGAAAAAAUGUACCCAUCCUGCCAGACAGGCAGCAAGAGCACUCCAAGGCUGGGAUAAGCUGAAGACAAAAGAAGAACACCCUCAAAAACAGGAUCAGUAUGGAAAAACCCCAAAGCACUGAAACAAAGGAUGCUAAACCCUGUAAAAGAAGACUUCAGAAAUGCCAAGUUGGAUGAAGUUUGAGACUGCUGA